UAUCAACUUAUAUGUUUCCACCAUGUCUCCUUUUUUUCUCUGGUUACUUAGUGUCUGCAGACCUGUGUGUUGACAUCUUUCCUUAUGUCAACUUAUAUCUAGUGACCCAUCUGAUGAGGAAAGACCCCCAAAACCCACUCAGCUAGUGGGGUACCUCUAUAGCCAGACUGGUAGAGGAGUGGCUUCCCAUUCAGCCAGUUGCAGGUUUGACCCACGCCGCCAGGAACCUUUUUUGGGUCUGGAUUAAUUUCAUGUGUGUUUCUUGACACGUAGAUGUCGUGUGGAUGUAUGAAAAAGUUGAAUUCCGUGUAUUACAAAUCAUGGUGUAUUGUGUUAGUUUAGAGUGCAGGCAGGUGGUGUGUCGGAGGUGAUAGUUCAGAGUGAUGGCAGGUGGUGUUAGUUCAGGGUGCAGGCAGGUGGUGUUAGUUCAGGGUGCAGGCAGGUGGUGUUAGUUCAGAGUGCAGGCAGGUGGUGUUAGUUCAGAGUGCAGCCAGGUGGUGUUAGUUCAGGGUGCAGGCAGGUGGUGUUAGUUCAGGGUGCAGGCAGGUGGUGUUAGUUCAGGGUGCAGGCAGGUGGUGUUAGUUCAGGGUGCAGGCAGGUGGUGUUAGUUCAGGGUGCAGGCAGGUGGUGUUAGUUCAGAGUGCAGGCAGGUGGUGUUAGUUCAGGGUGCAGGCAGGUGGUGUUAGUUCAGGGUGCAGGCAGGUGGUGUUAGUUCAGGGUGCAGGCAGGUGGUGUUAGUUCAGGGUGCAGGCAGGUGGUGUGUCAGUGGUGUUAGUUCAGGGUGCAGGCAGGAGAAAAUAACCUGAAGAACCCCCUGCACCAAGACACCCAAGUUCGGCUCUACAAAUUAGAGAGACCUGGAACCACUGCAGAAUAAACCAAAACAACCAACAUCAGGUGGAUAAUCGGGUGGUACGUCAGUGUAACGCCAGGAAACGUACUAAAACUGUAAUGGUAUUUUUUUCACCCCAC